AAGUCGUAACAAGGUCUCCGUGGGUGAACCAGCGGAGGGAUCAUUA
rnacentral:rRNA from 1 species